AGACCUGUUUAUAGUUAUCAGACACAGGGAAUGUUUAUGGUUACAUGAAUCAGGUGAAAACUGUCGAAUUUGGUUGUGAUGGGGCUUUAACUGAUGGGUGGAACUGCUGCCUUGACUGGGACAUAAACCGGUGGAUGAUCUGGAGCCUUGACUAGGGAGUUUAACUGGCAGAUGGGCUGAGGCUUUAACUGAUGGAUGAACUGGUGCGUUGACUUGGACUUCAACUGGUGGGUGAACUGGGUCGUGACUUGGACUUCAACGCCUAGGUAAACUGGACAGGAGUUGUGAUCGGUGGCAACGAGCAGACAGGUUGCAAGCAGAAAGUUGAAUGGGAAGUUUGUUGAAGAAAAACAAGACCACCAAAAAAAGAAUUAAAUGGCUUUCCUCUGGCCCCUUGUGGGCUUCUUAAUUGUGGAAUCAGCUUUCUAAGCAAAAGUGAUGGAGGUCUCAUCUUUUCUUUUGGUGGUUUGAUGACAUGAUGCCUUAUCUUUUAUACAAGCAAGAAGGUAGGUGUGGGCAAGAAGGUAGAAUAAUAUUGAAAUCAAACUCCUCUGUCAUACGGACCAUGAGAAUAUUACAGUGGAAUGCAUGUAUCUGCUUCGUGAAGUGUUCUCCACCCAAAUGAGUUGAGGUUUGGCUGUCUAAUAGUUAGGUUAUUCAUUUAGCUAUUUUGUUCUCAUAGAAGUUAUGCAUACUGCAAAUGUCCAAGAAGCUGAGAUUGCGCUUGAACAUGUUGUAUCUGAUUGGUUAAACGAUUAUUUGUGUGUAAUAUUGAAUAGGGGAGUUGGUUAGCCUAAGUGAACAA